rnacentral:rRNA from 1 species
AUUGAACGCUGGCGGCAGGCCUAACACAUGCAAGUCGAACGAGUGGCGGACGGGUGAGUAAUGUCUGGGAAACUGCACGAUGGAGGGGGAUAACUACUGGAAACGGUAGCUAAUACCGCAUACCAUCGGAUGUGCCCAGAUGGGAUUAGCUAGUAGGUGGGGUAACGGCUCACCUAGGCGACGAUCCCUAGCUGGUCUGAGAGGAUGACCAGCCACACUGGAACUGAGCAACGGUCAAGACUCCUACGGAGGGCAGCAGAGGGGAAUAUUGCACAAUGGGCGCAAGCCUGAUGCAGCCAGGCCGGGUGUAUGAAGAAGGCCUUCGGGUUGUAAAGUACUUUCAGCGGGGAGGCGUUACCCGCAGAAGAAGCACCGGCUAACUCCGUGCCAGCAGCCGCGGUAAUAC